CCUGAAAGGGUAGGGUGCCCGCAAGGGAGCGUGGAGACAGGUGGUGCAUGGCUGUCGUCAGCUCGUGUCGUGAGAUGUUGGGUUAAGUCCCGCAACGAGCGCAACCCUCACCCCUAGUUGCCACCGGGUAAAGCCGAGCACUCGAGGGGAACUGCCAGCGUCAAGCUGGAGGAAGGCGGGGAUGACGUCAAGUCAUCAUGCCCCUUACGCCUUGGGCUACACACGUGCUACAAUGGCCAGUACAGAGAGAUGCGAGACCGCGAGGUGGAGCCAAUCCCAAAAAGCUGGUCUAAGUUCAGAUUGCAGUCUGCAACUCGACUGCAUGAAGUAGGAAUCGCUAGUAAUCGCGCAUCAGCACGGCGCGGUGAAUACGUUCCCGGGCCUUGUACACACCGCCCGUCGCACCACGAAAGCUGG
rnacentral:rRNA from 1 species